rnacentral:rRNA from 1 species
GACGAACGCUGGCGGCGUGCUUAACACAUGCAAGUCGAACGGAAAGGCCCUGCUUUUGUGGGGUGCUCGAGUGGCGAACGGGUGAGUAACACGUGAGUAACCUGCCCUUGACUUUGGGAUAACUUCAGGAAACUGGGGCUAAUACCGGAUAGGAGCUCCUGCUGCAUGGUGGGGGUUGGAAAGUUUCGGCGGUUGGGGAUGGACUCGCGGCUUAUCAGCUUGUUGGUGGGGUAGUGGCUUACCAAGGCUUUGACGGGUAGCCGGCCUGAGAGGGUGACCGGACACAUUGGGACUGAGAUAAGGCACAGACUAGUACGGGAGGCAGCAGUGGGGAAUAGUGCACAAUGGGCGGAAGCCUGAUGCAGCAAAGCCGCGUGCGGGAUGACGGCCUUCGGGUUGUAAACCGCUGUCGCCUGUGACGAAGCGUGAGUGACGGUAAUGGGUAAAGAAGCACCGGCUAACUACGUG